CCCAUAUCGUCGGCUAUUCAACUUUUCUCCGAAAUCGCUUCCGGAAGGAUUUGCUCCCAAGAAAAGUUUUCACCCGAAGCGAUGAUGAAUAUGACGUGAAUUUCGUUGAGGUGUUUGAUUCCGGUGGUCGUAAGAAGCGAAGAAGAUUUACAACAGGAGCAGUUGCUAGCACGAAGAAUCACAAUUUCAGCGGUACAGCGGUGGACAAAACUGGAAUGACGUUGUUUGCCUAGGCAAGCAGCAAAAAGUUUUAUAAAAAUGUUAAAUAAAGACAAAAUGUUCAUUA